GACGAACGCUGGCGGCGUGCUUAACACAUGCAAGUCGUACGGUAAGGCCCUUUCGGGGGUACACUAGUGGCGAACGGUUGAGUAACACGUGAGUAACCUGCCCACAACUUUUGGAUAACGCUAGGAAACUGGUGCUAAUACUGGAUAUGUGCUCCUGCUGCAUGGUGUGGGUUGGAAAGCUCCUGCGGUUGUGGAUGGACUCGCGGCCUAUCAGCUUGUUGGUGGGGUAGUGGCCUACCAAGGCGGCGACGGGUAGCCGGCCUGAGAGGGUGACCGGCCACAUUGGGACUGAGAGACGGCACAGACUCGUACGGGAGGCAGAAGUGGGGAAUAUUGAACAAUGGGCGCAAGCCUGAUGCAGAAACGCCGCGUGCGGGAUGACGGCCUUCGGGUUGUAAAAAGCUUUCAGCAGGGACGACGCUUUUUGUGACGGUACCUGAAGAAGAAGCACCGGCUAACUACGUG
rnacentral:rRNA from 1 species